UCUACCGUACCUGAGCAAGAUGGCUGGGGGGGGGACUACCCCAGCUGGUUCUGAGCGAGGGGCAGGAAUACACUCAAAGUGUAUUCCUGCCUCUAACUCACAACCGUGGCCGAUUUAGUAUCUCCGAUUAACCUGUAUGCAUGUUUUUCGGAUUGGGGAAACCUAGGUGGACACGGGGAGAACAUGCAAACUCCGCACAGAGCCGAGAUUCGAUAUCACGACCUUCGUACUGUGAGGCGACAGCGCUACCCACUGAGCCACCGUGCCACCGAUUACAAUGCUUGCUUGGUAAACUAUCAAGGAUCAUCAAGGAUGACGUGCCCUUAGCCUCAUAGCUCCAGGCUAGCUCCCGUAAUUAGUACUGCUCGGUUCUUCCCGGUUUAGCAAUGGCGACCUUCUACACCCACUGUCAAUAGGAGCUCCCAAAGAUAAACAUCACUCGCGUUCAUAGGAUUUUCACAACGACUAAAGACUCAACCAGCAAAUUGGAGAAAGGCUAUUAAUUAUAUGCCAUGUGUAUAUUCGCAACUACGAAGACGUGCUUGAAACCUCUAAGAAGGAGAUCGAAGACAUCCUGAUCCGGUACCGCGGGACCUUGUUGGUGGCCGACUCCCGCCGCUCCCGGUCCGACGAGUUUGCUGGAGCCGGAGCCCGCCCUCGCUACCAGAAGUCUUACUGCUAAAAAUGCUGUCUUCGCUUUUAUAUACAAUAAAAAUGAAAAUGACCUAAAUCA